rnacentral:rRNA from 1 species
GAUGAACGCUGGCGGCGUGCCUAAUACAUGCAAGUCGAGCGAACGGACGAGAAGCUUGCUUCUCUGAUGUUAGCGGCGGACGGGUGAGUAACACGUGGAUAACCUACCUAUAAGACUGGGAUAACUUCGGGAAACCGGAGCUAAUACCGGAUAAUAUUUUGAACCGCAUGGUUCAAAAGUGAAAGACGGUCUUGCUGUCACUUAUAGAUGGAUCCGCGCUGCAUUAGCUAGUUGGUAAGGUAACGGCUUACCAAGGCAACGAUGCAUAGCCGACCUGAGAGGGUGAUCGGCCAGACUGGAACUGAGGCACGGCCCAGACUCCUACGGGAGGCAGCAGUAGGGAAUCUUCCGCAAUGGGCGAAAGCCUGACGGAGCAACGCCGCGUGAGUGAUGAAGGUCUUCGGAUCGUAAAACUCUGUUAUUAGGGAAGAACAUAUGUGUAAGUAACUGUGCACAUCUUGACGGUACCUAAUCAGAAAGCCACGGCUAACUACGUG